rnacentral:rRNA from 1 species
UACGGGGGGGGGAAGCGUUGUUCGGAAUUACUGGGCGUAAAGGGCUCGUAGGCGGCCAACUAAGUCAGACGUGAAAUCCCUCAGCUUAACUGGGGAACUGCGUCUGAUACUGGAUGGCUUGGAUCCGGGAGAGGGAUGCGGAAUUCCAGGUGUAGCGGUGAAAUGCGUAGAUAUUGGGAGGAACACCAGUGGCGAAGGCGGCUCACUGGACCGGUACUGACGCUGAGGAGCGAAAGCGUGGGGAGCGAACAGG